rnacentral:tRNA from 7 species
GCUGGGGUGGCGGAAUUGGUAGACGCACUAGCUUGAGGUGCUAGCGCCGCGAGGCGUGUGGGUUCAAGUCCCAUCUCCAGCACCA